rnacentral:rRNA from 1 species
UACGUAGGUGGCAAGCGUUGUCCGGAUUUAUUGGGUUUAAAGGGUGCGUAGGCGGUCUUCUAAGUCAGUGCUGAAAUAUCCCGGCUUAACCGGGAGGGUGGCAUUGAUACUGGGAGACUUGAGUAAAGUUGAGGUAGGCGGAAUUGACGGUGUAGCGGUGAAAUGCGUAGAUAUCUGGAGGAACACCGGUGGCGAAGGCGGCAUCCUGGACCAAUACUGACACUGAGGAGCGAAAGCCAGGGGAGCAAACGGG